GAUGAACGCUGGCGGCGUGCCUAAUACAUGCAAGUCGAGCGAACGGACGAGAAGCUUGCUUCUCUGAUGUUAGCGGCGGACGGGUGAGUAACACGUGGAUAACCUACCUAUAAGACUGGGAUAACUUCGGGAAACCGGAGCUAAUACCGGAUAAUAUUUUGAACCGCAUGGUUCAAAAGUGAAAGACGGUCUUGCUGUCACUUAUAGAUGGAUCCGCGCUGCAUUAGCUAGUUGGUAAGGUAACGGCUUACCAAGGCAACGAUGCAUAGCCGACCUGAGAGGGUGAUCGGCCACACUGGAACUGAGACACGGUCCAGACUCCUACGGGAGGCAGCAGUAGGGAAUCUUCCGCAAUGGGCGAAAGCCUGACGGAGCAACGCCGCGUGAGUGAUGAAGGUCUUCGGAUCGUAAAACUCUGUUAUUAGGGAAGAACAUAUGUGUAAGUAAUUGUGCACAUCUUGACGGUACCUAAUCAGAAAGCCACGGCUAACUACGUG
rnacentral:rRNA from 1 species